CGGGUCAUGGUGGCCGGCCGAUAGUCGGCCAUGGCGGCCGUCCGCCGGUGACGCGGUUGCGAUAGGAAGAAGGCAGUAGAGCGCGAGUACGUGGUAGAGAGGGGUCCGCGGAGGUGAGGCGGAGCUGGUGCGCGCGCACGCGGGGGCCAAGGACCUCGCUAGCGGCCGCCGGAGCUGCGGCAGCGCCGCCGUACUCGUAGGAGACGCAACUGACAGGCGGGGUCGUCAUGUCAGCGUCUCGCUGGAAGGGUGGAGAGGCCUGACGAGCAGGCCCCGCUUGUCAGCGACCGCGCGGAGAGAAGGCGGCGUGCGCAGCGUCCGCGCGGGCCGAGCCGAAGCGGGCCGGCCUGCGAGCCAAAAUCCGGUCACCCGCUGCAGUGUCUUUUCUUUUUUUUCUUUUAUGCAGUUUUUGUUUUAUAUUUGAAUUUGUGUAAUAAAUUGUGUGAAGAUCCAAAAAUAAUGAGAAUUUUUGUAUAAACUCUCUGAAAUAUGUAGGAUCCAAGAAAAAUACUAGAUUCUGCUUUCUAAUAGUUUGCAAGGAUAUAAAAAUUGGCCCUUUUAAUUAGCAAAUAAAACUUGUAUGAUUUUUAAUAAUUUAUUUGUAUGUCCAAAAAUCACCAAAAAUUGUGGGGAGCCUCUGAAUAUUAUUCCCUGGCUCCACACAAAAUUUGGUGGCAUUUGGAUAAGGUUUGGUUAAAAUGUUAAUAAACCCUUAUUUAGUGCCUAAGUAAUAAUUCCAAAAUAAUUAAAUAAUAAUUAGUUAAAUCCUCAUCAUUAGGGUUGAGUGAUAUUGGGAUUGCGUGAUGACCUGAGGUCAUUAACCCUAAUGACCUUUGGCAUUUAAUUAUUGUUUAGCCUUAAUGCUUAAUUACUGUCAUUAAUAGUUAAUUAAGAAUUAAUUAAGGUAAAUAGGAUUAAUAAUUAGUUAAUUCAGGUUAAUUAUGGAUUAAAAGAGAUUUUAUUUUACAGAUGCAACCUCUUGGGUAAAAACAUUAAGAUGUUAAACAACUUUAUUUACUGAUUAAUCUGUAUUGCAUUAAGAAGGCAAAUUGUACUCGACUUGAUCCUUCUUGCAUAGUUGUCAUACGCAUAUCAUGAGCAUUCAUCAAUUUGCGUAUAGUAUCCGUGACCGAAGGAGCGCCCAUUGAACCGAAUCCCGAGGUCGGUGCUCCGUUCGAGGAAGUAGGAUCCGAGACUUGGGAAGUCUCCGAGGGUCCGUCUCUGCCCUGCAACCAAGGCAAGCCCCGGAUGCAUUAACCUCUCCUUGGAUGUUUUAAACCUUUUAUCACUUAUGAAUUGAAAUUGCUGCAUUAGGUAGUUGAGAAUUGGGUUAACCUACUUGCUGCAUUUACUACCUUGAUAUCUGUUGUCCUGUCCUUGACACCUGUUUUAUUUUAAAACUGCGUAGCAAUGCUUAGCCCUGCUACUAGAUAGGUUUUCAAACAAGAAAGUUUGAAGGGUUGUUGUGGAAUAUACUUAUGAUCAAUGAUGUUUCAAUUUGAGACCGGUCGGUGGACUUGCUUUAAGAAUGGAGUCUUAAAGUAGUGUCCCCAACUGUGUCGGUUAAGGACCGGUCCGUUGAUGGCCU
rnacentral:lncRNA from 1 species